UACGUAGGGGGCGAGCGUUGUCCGAAGUUACUGGGCGUAAAGCGCACGUAGGCGGCUUUGUAAGUUAGAGGUGAAAGCCCGGGGCUCAACUCCGGAACUGCCUUUAAGACUGCAUCGCUUGAAUCCGGGAGAGGUGAGUGGAAUUCCGAGUGUAGAGGUGAAAUUCGUAGAUAUUCGGAAGAACACCAGUGGCGAAGGCGGCUCACUGGACCGGUAUUGACGCUGAGGUGCGAAAGCGUGGGGAGCAAACAGG
rnacentral:rRNA from 1 species